AAUAGAUACCCGGGUAGUCCACGCCGUAAACGAUGAAUACUAGGUGUAGGGGUUGUCAUGACCUCUGUGCCGCCGCUAACGCAUUAAGUAUUCCGCCUGGGGAGUACGGUCGCAAGAUUAAAACUCAAAGGAAUUGACGGGGGCCCGCACAAGCAGCGGAGCAUGUGGUUUAAUUCGAAGCAACGCGAAGAACCUUACCUAGACUUGACAUCUCCUGAAUUACCCUUAAUCGGGGAAGCCCUUCGGAGCAGGAAGACAGGUGGUGCAUGGUUGUCGUCAGCUCGUGUCGUGAGAUGUUGGGUUAAGUCCCGCAACGAGCGCAACCCUUAUUGUUAGUUGCUACCAUUUAGUUGAGCACUCUAGCGAGACUGCCCGGGUUAACCGGGAGGAAGGUGGGGAUGACGUCAAAUCAUCAUGCCCCUUAUGUCUAGGGCUACACACGUGCUACAAUGGCUGGUACAGAGAGAUGCUAAACCGUGAGGUGGAGCCAAACUUUAAAACCAGUCUCAGUUCGGAUUGUAGGCUGAAACUCGCCUACA
rnacentral:rRNA from 1 species